rnacentral:lncRNA from 10 species
UUUGCAUGGAGUAUUAUUAUUUUAAAAAUUGCAUUUUUACCUUUCAUGUGCCUGAAGGCUAUCCACUACAUUCUGAAGGCCUUGUUAAAAUCCAAGCUGCUCAUUUCACUAUUCUGUUUCUGAGUGAGAAGAUAAAAACUGCCCAUUGUAACUUAUUUCAGGUUAAAUUAAACCAAGGAGUCUGAUUGCAGGAAGGGAAGAGCAUGUAAGAAAUAAGUUUUUUUAAAGUGUUAUUUUGUAUAAAUGGGAAGAAAGAUUCAAUUAAGUUAUUAACAUUUGGGACCUGGAUAAUUAUAUCAGAGUAUGUCAGUCCAAUAAAUUAUUUAACUAAUUAAAAAAUAGUUGCAAAGCAUUUGAGCUGUGGUUGAGGAAGUGGUGUAAAAGUGCAUCCAUUAGGAAUGAUGCACUUUCAUUAGGAUGGACUCGUGUCUGAUUAGAAUGUCAGUUGAUCAGCUAGAUUUGUGUCCACACUACCAGUUUCACACCCCCUUUCCAUCUGUUUGAUACAGUAUUAUAGAUAUAAAUAUAUAUAUAUUUCUCUGUGGCCAUUUGUGAUACUUCCUCAUAUACUUGAAUAUUAUACUUCUUUAUUCACAGUAUCUGUGUCUCCUGCACCCUUUGGUGUUGCAAUUUUAGAUAUGUGAAAGUAGAUGUUAGCAGGGUUCUCUCCCUAUUUAAAAAAAAUACAUUAAAAAAGACAAAAAAUUUUAGCAUGAAGUUGCUUUCUGUAACAACUCAAAGCCGUAACCCUGUUUUAGUGCCAGAUACAAGUCUCUCCCGUGAUGCUAGACAAAAAAUUAUUUUUCUUUGCUUUCACCAACAUGGAGUUUGUGGGGGUGGGUCCAGUUAUACAUGAAAGGGUUUACAGAUUGUUGGUUUAAGAUUAUGGAUUUAUCUCAUUUUUAAUCACAGGAUAGUUUGGGGUUUAUUCCUAUUAUUAUUCAUGAAACCGACUUAAGAUUUUUUCUUUAUUUUUCUUUUUUUUUCCAUUUGCUAAAGUUGAAAGUUGAAACUAACUAUAAUAGUUUGAAACAUGUUUUCUCAUUUUUCCAAAUAGUAUCUGUUUAUUAAAUUCUCUAAUAGAAGAUGUUUGUCUUUCUUACCCAAAGUAAAGAUCCCCUGAUCAGAAAGAAAAAAUACAAUACUUUGGGAAGCUAUAGCUAUAAAACACUUGAGACACAGAUAUCUAAAUCAGUUUUUUUCCAAGACUCCAACAUUGCACUCUGUAAAGUAACACACUGUGAUCUAGUAUUAUUUAUCAGUAGAUAAUACUGUUCUGACUGUAUAUACAGUCUAGAACUCACAAAUCAAUUAGUUCCUCUCACAAAUCAUUCAUCUUAGACUUACAAAUAAGGAAUGAAAUAGUCAAUGGCCUGAUUAAGGCAAAGAGCUACCAGGCUAGAUGGACACUUUUUAAAAAUUUUAUCUGUUCUUUUUCUUGCUCAGGGCUGGUAGGUUGGAUCUGAACCAUUAAAAUCAAAUGGUCCACUAGGCGUAUGAUCUCUUUGAGCCAAAUCAGUUCCUGAAUAUAAAGGAGGAAAUGAUGAGGAUGUACUGAGGCAACGGGGAAGUAUAGAAACAUCCAAGACAAAAGCCAAGGGAUGCAAAGGCAGAGACACAGGUGCUUUUUGGUGACCCAGUGGAUAUGGCAACCAGUGUAACUGCCAUACAAGAAACCCUAGGAGCAAACCCACACCACUCAUUCUCAGCUAAGAGAUUUUACACAGGCAAACGUGUCUUAAACCAUCUAUAAAUCAGUUAUUUUAUAUGACAGUCAAAACCUUAGAAACCUUAGGAUCAUUAUAUCUAUUUUCUGCCUAUUAAUUGCUGUGAGGUUUGAUUUGACCAAUCUGGGCAAUUUAUUCAUCAGCUUCCCUUGAAGUGCACCAGAAAAUAGAAGAAAGGUGUGUGGAGACUUAGGGUAUUUUAUUACAUGUUUUCAUAGUCUUAAAUAGUGAUUAAAUUUCUCUAGAAAGAAGUUAACAGCUCAUUAGAAAAGUUUUAACCUGUGAAAUAAGUAUUUUUCUCAACAUUCUUUAAAGUUUUUAUAUAAGUUAACACUAGGUAAACAUUCUGCAUACUAGAAGUCAGUUUAUUACAAAUACAUGUCAAAAAU